rnacentral:rRNA from 1 species
AGAGCCAUACCACAUUGAAAACACCGGUUCUCGUCCGAUCACCGAAGUUAAGCAAUGUCGGGACCGGUCAGUUUUUGGGAGGGUGACCACCUGGGAACACCGGGUGCUGUAGGGU